GUGGGGAAUUUUGGACAAUGGGCGCAAGCCUGAUCCAGCAAUGCCGCGUGCAGGAAGAAGGCCUUCGGGUUGUAAACUGCUUUUGUACGGAACGAAACGGUCCUGGCUAAUACCUGGGGCUAAUGACGGUACCGUAAGAAUAAGCACCGGCUAACUACGUGCCAGCAGCCGCGGUAAUACGUAGGGUGCGAGCGUUAAUCGGAAUUACUGGGCGUAAAGCGUGCGCAGGCGGUGCUGUAAGACAGGCGUGAAAUCCCCGGGCUCAACCUGGGAAUUGCGCUUGUAACUGCAGUGCUGGAGUGCGGCAGAGGGGGAUGGAAUUCCGCGUGUAGCAGUGAAAUGCGUAGAUAUGCGGAGGAACACCGAUGGCGAAGGCAAUCCCCUGGGCCUGCACUGACGCUCAUGCACGAAAGCGUGGGGAGCAAACAGGAUUAGAAACCCCGGUAGUCC
rnacentral:rRNA from 1 species